rnacentral:lncRNA from 1 species
UAUUUUCCUUAAAGAAAAACAGAGAGAAAGCUCUCAAAUUUUCUCUUAGGCCUGUGCCAUCCUCAUCGGAGAUCCGGCUAGCCGAGGUCGUGAGUUCGUCGGUAAGUCCCCUCUCUCCCUCUCUUGUUUUUUAAAAAAAAUCGUUUAAAAAAAUUUGAAAAGGAAACAGAACAAACGAAAUCCAAAUCAAGAGAAAAUUCGAAAAGAAAAAAAAAUGAAAAAUCACCUUUCAAAACUUAGUUCCAAUUCUUGAUUUACUCUUGAACUUUGUAUUAUCUCCGAAAAAAUAUAUAUAUCCCCCAAAAUACAAUCGAUUCCUCUCUAAAAAUCCUCCCUAAAAUACAAUCCCUUCUCCCAUCGAAAUAUCAAAAAAUCCCCCUCCUAUUACAUUCAGAUCUGGCAUUUAUAGCCAUUUCAAUACAAUAUUUUAAAUUUCUUGCCAUUGCUUCCUGCCGUCUGCCUCUGUCUUAGUGUUUGCUUUCUUUUCGUCUUAUUCUGCAGGUGACGGAAAUCAACAAGUGGGCGCACAUGGAGAGUUGGUGGGAGUGUCAGACGCGUGGGGCGUGGUGGCCAAGGCUGAGGGGCAUGGUGGCCGACAUGGUGGCAUGGAGAGCUGGGGUUUGCUGCUGAAAUUUUGCUGAAAAAUGUUUUAGAUUUUGGGCCUUUUGGGCUUUAGGGUUUUGAUUUGUUUGGGUUUAAAUUUUGGGUCAGAUUUUGGGUUUGUAAAUGGGCUGUUACUUUUGGGUUUAUUAUUUGAGUUAUUUUGUUGGUAUGGGCCCAGGCAAAAUGGGCUCGUACAGCUGCCCCUCUUUGCUUGUUGUCGUGUAACGAGAACAGAGCAAAGACUAAGAAGGUCAAUUUUGCCCGGUCUCACCGAGUCUUGAUUUUAUGGUGCUUAUCUUCUUCAAGUAACCUCAUUUCAG